GUGAACGCUGGCGGUAGGCCUAACACCUGCCAGUCGAACGGCAGCACAGUAAGAGCUUGCUCUUACGGGUGGCGAGUGGCGGACGGGUGAGGAAUACAUCGGAAUCUACUUUUUCGUGGGGGAUAACGUAGGGAAACUUACGCUAAUACCGCAUACGACCUACGGGUGAAAGCAGGGGAUCUUCGGACCUUGCGCGAUUGAAUGAGCCGAUGUCGGAUUAGCUAGUUGGCGGGGUAAAGGCCCACCAAGGCGACGAUCCGUAGCUGGUCUGAGAGGAUGAUCAGCCACACUGGAACUGAGACACGGUCCAGACUCCUACGGGAGGCAGCAGUGGGGAAUAUUGGACAAUGGGCGCAAGCCUGAUCCAGCCAUGCCGCGUGGGUGAAGAAGGCCUUCGGGUUGUAAAGCCCUUUUGUUGGGAAAGAAAAGCAGCAGGUUAAUACCCCGCUGUUCUGACGGUACCCAAAGAAUAAGCACCGGCUAACUUCGUG
rnacentral:rRNA from 1 species